rnacentral:rRNA from 1 species
CUAAGAAUAUUCCGCAAUGGACGAAAGUCUGACGGAGCGACGCCGCGUGGAUGAAGAAGGCCGCAAGGUUGUAAAAUCCUUUUGCUGGGGAAGAAUAAGCGCAGGAGGGAAUGCAAGCGUGAUGACAUGAACCGGCGAAGAAGCCCCGGCCAACAACGUGCCAGCAGCCGCGGUAACACGUAGGGGGCAAGCGUUGAUCGGAAUUACUGGGCGUAAAGGGCAUGUAGGCGGUUUAGUAAGCUUGUCGUGAAAGACCACGGCUUAACUGUGGGGUUGCGUUGAGAACUGCUGAACUUGAGUUCCGGAGAGGGAGCUAGAAUUCCUUGUGGAGGGGUGGAAUCUGUAGAGAUCAGGAAGAAUACCGAUGGCGAAGGCAAGCUUCUGGCCGAUAACUGACGCUGAGGUGCGAAAGUGUGGGGAUCAAACA